GAUGCGAGCGUUAUCCGGAUUUAUUGGGUUUAAAGGGUGCGCAGGCGGCCUGUUAAGUCAGCGGUAAAAGCCCGGGGCUCAACCCCGGCGAGCCGUUGAAACUGGCAGACUUGAGUUGGCGAGAAGUACGCGGAAUGCGCGGUGUAGCGGUGAAAUGCAUAGAUAUCGCGCAGAACUCCGAUUGCGAAGGCAGCGUACCGGCGCCAGACUGACGCUGAGGCACGAAAGCGUGGGGAUCGAAC
rnacentral:rRNA from 1 species